AAAGUCGUAACAAGGUCUCCGUUGGUGAACCAGCGGAGGGAUCAUUACCGAGUUGCAAAACUCCCAAACCCACUGUGAACCAAUACCACUGUUGCUUCGGCGGACACGCCCCGGGCGCACCUCCUCAGGGGGUGUGCCCCGGAACCAGGCGCCCGCCGGGGGACCGAAACCUCUGUAUCUACCAUUCGAGUACUCUGAGUGUGAUUUACAAAAUCAAAAUUAAAACUUUCAACAACGGAUCUCUUGGCUCUA
rnacentral:misc_RNA from 1 species